rnacentral:pre_miRNA from 1 species
AGCCUUCUGUAUCUGUGCUGAGAUUUCAUCAAACACCAGACCACAAGGGUGACUUCCAAGAUAAGUGAAGCG